rnacentral:rRNA from 1 species
CAGGUGCUGCAUGGCUGUCGUCAGCUCGUGUCGUGAGAUGUUGGGUUAAGUCCCGUAACGAGCGCAACCCCUAUCCUUAUUUGCCAGCGGAUUAUGCCGGGAACUCUAAGGAGACUGCCGGUGACAAACCGGAGGAAGGUGGGGACGAGGUCAAGUCAUCAUAGCCUUUAUUGUGGUGGGCUACAAACGUGCUACAAUGGGCGGUACAAAGGGCUGCGAUCCCGCGAGGGCGAGCCAAUCCCUAAAACCGCUCGUAGUCCGGAUAGGAGUCUGCAACUCGACUCCUUGAAGUCGGAAUCGCUAGUAAUCGCGAAUCAGAACGUCGCGGUGAAUACGUUCCCGGGCCUUGUACACACCGCCCGUCAAGUCAUGGGAGUGGGUUGCACCAGAAGUAGCUAGUCUAACCUUCGGGAGGACGGUUACCACGGUGUGAUUCAUGACUGGGACUAAGUCGUAACAAGGUAGCCGUAGGGGAACCUGCGGCUGGAUCACCUCCUUA